UUUUCCCUCUUCAGCACAGAGCUCCUAGCCCUGGUUGACACCAGACCCUUCUCAGUUGUAAUUGAGAGCGGGUCUGGGGAAUGUUCAUUCACAGCUCAUUUACAAAGGGGCGUCACCAACGGACGACGCUCAAAUGCCUCCGGGCGCAAUUGGAUAAACCUAAAACCAAUCAGAGCAAUGAAGGAGGUGACGUAUGCGGAGCGACUGAAAUACAUCUUAACCAGCGAGCAUGUUGCAGAGCCCAUUCACAUGAAUUCGCUUCACCAUCGUCACC